rnacentral:sRNA from 1 species
AGCUAAACGGGAUUGAAAUGGAAAUCCUUUUUGUAUGCUGAGCUUGUCGAAGCACAAAAAGAUUGGAAUGUAAAGCCCGGCUAACA